AAAUUGAAGAGUUUGAUCAUGGCUCAGAUUGAACGCUGGCGGCAGGCCUAACACAUGCAAGUCGAACGGUAACAGGAAUCAGCUUGCUGAUUCGCUGACGAGUGGCGGACGGGUGAGUAAUGUCUGGGAAACUGCCUGAUGGAGGGGGAUAACUACUGGAAACGGUAGCUAAUACCGCAUAAUGUCGCAAGACCAAAGAGGGGGACCUUCGGGCCUCUUGCCAUCGGAUGUGCCCAGAUGGGAUUAGCUAGUAGGUGGGGUAACGGCUCACCUAGGCGACGAUCCCUAGCUGGUCUGAGAGGAUGACCAGCCACACUGGAACUGAGACACGGUCCAGACUCCUACGGGAGGCAGCAGUGGGGAAUAUUGCACAAUGGGCGCAAGCCUGAUGCAGCCAUGCCGCGUGUAUGAAGAAGGCCUUCGGGUUGUAAAGUACUUUCAGCGGGGAGGAAGGGAGUAAAGUUAAUACCUU
rnacentral:rRNA from 1 species